GCGAUAUUAUUGUUGUUACUGACAACUUGAAUGGUUUUUAAUUCCAGCUCGUCGCUCAUUCUUCCAUAGUCACAGUCCCACAACAACUCGUCCUGCUUUUUACCCGGAACUAAGAGACGCCUCAAACACGCCUGCCUGUCACAGAGGUUGUGGUGAAGAAGUGGGUUGAUUGGAUUACAGUUUACAAACCCCACUGCUGUGUCCUCUGGCGGUUCAUAUGAAUAGACUACAGGCUUACUAAGUGCUUAAGCCCUGAAGACGUGCAACUUCGUGCUGAUGUCAUCACAUCUCACACAUCACAGAUUAUUGGACACAAUGACUGACCAAGCAGUGGUUAAAGGACAGCUGAGCGGGUUGCGGUGUGGAUCUCAAUGAGCUGGAGGGACUGCUGGGAUUGGAAUUGAUGGGAGACUGUUUGGCCUCUGGACUUUUGGGUGGAGACAGCAGUAUAGUCGGAGAGAGAGCAAGGUUGGC